CAUAUUAGGCAGGUUCUACUCUAACUGCCUAAUGUCUGCUAAAUGAACCAUAAUAAAACACAUACAGCACUUACCUGCAAGAAAAGGCAGAAGUCUUGAGCAACUGCCUGCAGGGACCAACUGAAACAAAAGGAAUCAUGGAAAAGGAACGAGUGUGGCAACAUAAAAUUUUACACUUUAUCCAGUUUCCUGAUAAUUUCAAUUCUGCUG